rnacentral:rRNA from 1 species
GACAGAGGUGGCAAGCGUUGUUCGGAAUUACUGGGCGUAAAGGGCGCGUAGGCGGUUUUGUAAGUCCCGCGUGAAAUCCCCCGGCUCAACUGGGGAACUGCGUGGGAAACUGCGAGGCUUGAGUUCGGGAGAGGGAAGCGGAAUUCCGGGUGUAGCGGUGAAAUGCGUAGAUAUCCGGAGGAACACCGGUGGCGAAGGCGGCUUCCUGGACCGACACUGACGCUGAGGCGCGAAAGCUAGGGGAGCAAACGGG